CUUGCAACACUCUUCUUCUUCCCUUAAAACCCAAAGGAAGAAAAGAAAAUCGCCUCUUUCUCUGAAUUUCAUCUCAAAUUCACCCAUUUUCUCUCAGUUUUUCUCUUAUACUCGCCUUACCCAUGGCUCUACUUGUUGAGAAGACCACCUCUGGCCGCGAGUACAAGGUGAAGGACAUGUCCCAGGCUGACUUCGGCAGGCUCGAAAUCGAGCUUGCCGAAGUCGAAAUGCCUGGUCUCAUGGCUUCCCGUACUGAAUUUGGCCCUUCACAGCCCUUCAAAAGGUGCAAAAGAUCACUGGAUCUCUGCAUAUGACUAUCCAAAACUGCUGUCCUUAUUGAAACCCUAACUGCUUUGGGUGCUGAAGUUAGAUGGUGUUCUUGCAACAUCUUCUCAACUCAGGAUCAUGCUGCAGCAGCCAUUGCACGUGACAGUGCUGCUGUUUUUGCCUGGAAAGGUGAGACUUUGCAGGAGUACUGGUGGUGUACUGAGAGGGCACUUGAUUGGGGUCCAGGUGGUGGUCCUGAUCUGAUUGUUGAUGAUGGUGGUGAUGCUACACUCUUGAUUCAUGAGGGUGUUAAGGCAGAGGAGGAGUUUGCUAAGAAUGGGGCAAUCCCAGAUCCUACUUCUACUGAUAACGUUGAGUUUCAACUUGUGCUUACUAUUAUUAAGGAGAGUUUAAAGACUGAUCCUUUAAGGUACACUAAGAUGAAGGAGAGACUUGUUGGUGUUUCUGAGGAAACUACCACUGGUGUUAAGAGGCUUUACCAAAUGCAGGCUAAUGGAACUUUACUAUUCCCUGCUAUUAAUGUUAAUGACUCUGUUACCAAGAGCAAGUUUGACAACUUGUAUGGAUGCCGCCAUUCACUUCCCGAUGGUCUCAUGAGGGCGACUGAUGUUAUGAUUGCUGGAAAGGUUGCCCUUGUUGCUGGUUAUGGAGAUGUCGGCAAGGGAUGUGCUGCUGCCAUGAAACAAGCAGGUGCCCGUGUUAUUGUGACUGAGAUUGACCCAAUCUGUGCUCUCCAGGCUACCAUGGAAGGCCUCCAGGUUCUUCCUCUUGAGGAUGUUGUUUCUGAGGUUGAUAUCUUUGUGACCACAACCGGUAACAAGGACAUCAUCAUGGUUGACCACAUGAGGAAGAUGAAGAACAAUGCCAUUGUCUGCAACAUUGGUCACUUUGACAAUGAAAUCGACAUGCAUGGUCUUGAGACCUUCCCUGGUGUGAAGAGGAUCACAAUCAAGCCUCAAACCGACAGAUGGGUUUUCCCAGACAGCAAGAGUGGCAUCAUUGUCUUGGCCGAAGGUCGUCUCAUGAACUUGGGAUGUGCCACAGGACACCCCAGUUUUGUGAUGUCCUGCUCUUUCACUAACCAAGUCAUUGCCCAACUCGAGUUGUGGAAUGAGAAGAAAAGUGGCAAAUACGAGAAGAAGGUGUAUGUUUUGCCAAAGCACCUCGACGAGAAGGUUGCUGCCCUUCAUCUUGGAAAGCUUGGAGCCAAGCUUACCAAACUUACCAAGGAUCAAGCCGACUACAUCAGCGUACCAGUUGAGGGUCCUUACAAGCCUGCUCACUACAGGUACUGAGGGAAGACAAUUUGACAGAGGAACAAUAUUGUCGCGGCAUGAUUAUUUUGCUUUGAAUACUUUGAGUUUGUUUAGGAUAAUAGUGUUUUGAUUAUUGUUGGGGAUAUAUUUGGGAGGAAGUUGGCAUGUUUUGCUGAAAAAAAUGGUCUCAUUUGAAAGAAGACCAAAAUGUUUUAAUAAUAUUUGAGUUAUGGUUGGUGGUGUGCUAAGUUACCUCCA